GCUCAACCGAGGAAGUGCUUCGAAAACUGGUAAACUUGAGUGCAGAAGAGGAAAGUGGAACUCCAUGUGUAGCGGUGGAAUGCGUAGAUAUAUGGAAGAACACCAGUGGCGAAGGCGGCUUUCUGGUCUGUAACUGACGCUGAGAUUCGAAAGCAUGGGUAGCAAACAGGAUUAGAUACCCUGGUAGUCCAUGCCGUAAACGAUGAGUGCUAAGUGUUGGAGGGUUUCCGCCCUUCAGCGCUGCAGCUAACGCAUUAAGCACUCCGCCUGGGGAGUACGAUCGCAAGAUUGAAACUCAAAGGAAUUGACGGGGGCCCGCACAAGCGGUGGAGCAUGUGGUUUAAUUCGAAGCAACGCGAAGAACCUUACCAGGUCUUGACAUACCAUGGGAAGCUAAGAGAUUAGUCUUUCCCUUCGGGGACAUGGAUACAGGUGGUGCAUGGUUGUCGUCAGCUCGUGUCGUGAGAUGUUGGGUUAAGUCCCGCAACGAGCGCAACCCUUAUUAUCAGUUGCCAGCAUUCAGUUGGGCACUCUGGUGAGACUGCCGGUGACAAACCGGAGGAAGGUAGGGACGACGUCAAAUCAUCAUGCCCCUUAUGACCUGGGCUACACACGUGCUACAAUGGUCGGUACAACG
rnacentral:rRNA from 1 species